rnacentral:tRNA from 1 species
GGCUAGAUAACAUAAUGGUAAUGUAUAGGACUGCAAAUCCUAGAAUGGCGGUUCAAUUCCGCCUCUAGCCU